AGGUUAUUACAUUGUCUCUAUGAAUGCAGAGAGAUUUGAAGAUGCAUAUGAUUUAUGUUUGGUUCAUAUCGCAAUGUUUUUCAGGCUGACGGCAUGCCAACACAGCAGUCAUCUAGUGAGUGCAUAAUAUGCAAAUUGAUCGUAAAGGCGGUGAAAACAUUACUCUCCCAUAAACCAACGGUGGAUGAAAUCAAAACCAAGCUGAAAAAGGGCUGUAAUCUGUUAAAUCAGAGGAAAGAUCCAUGCAAGCACUUCAUUGAGAAGUAUAUGAACAAGCUGGUCGAUGAGCUGAUGACAGAUGACGCCCCAAACAAAGUCUGUUCUAAAAUUCUUAUCUGCUAAAAGGUCAGAACCAUAAAGGAGAUCAUUUUUCUACAUGAUCAAGCUCAUGACAAUUUCUGAAUGAGAAUACAUUUGGAGAUCCCUGCAUCACAGUGAAAAAAAAAAAAA
rnacentral:lncRNA from 1 species